ACUUUACCUCUUUUUUCAGCCACAAACAGGUUGUUUUGAGUGUCAACACAUAAACUGAAUGGACGGCGUAAAUGACAGUUGUUCAUGUAGCUGAGGAACUGUCCGUCCUGAUCCAGGAUGUGGAUCUGCUGGUUGGAAAAGUCAACUAUCAAGAUCAAACCCUGACUGUCUGUUGUGAUGCCACAUGGAUCGAUUGAUAUAUUGCGUGUACAGGGACCAGGGUAGGUAAACCGGAGUUUCCCGGCCUGAUUGACCACCACUACUGCACCGAAUCCACGGUCUGCCACACAGAUAUCUCCGUUUCUGUUCUCACAGAUAUUUCUAGCGUGACUACCAGAUGAAUAGAUAGGUUGUCCUUUGUUAUCGUACUGAAUACUUUGUUUCUCUGUGGGGCCAGAGUAACACACAACUUUUGUUUGUUUUAAAUUAAAACUCAAAAUGACAACCAGGAGGUCACCAGAGGAGGUACUACAGACACCGCGAGGUAUCCACCCCUGUAGUCUGAUCACUGUCUGUAUCUGUGUAUUCUUCACUAUGUUCACAGUGUUAUCAAGGUCAUCAGUAUAAACUAGAUCCCCAGUCCUUGUCACUGUUAUGUCGUAUGGAGAUUUCCCUGACUUGGUCUGGACGGACUUCACUUGUUCUCCCUGCAGAUUGUAGAGUUUCAUCUUGUUGUCGUCAUUACCACACGUCCACAUCUCUGUAUCACUUAGACAAGUCACACAGGAUAGAUAUUCAUACUCUGUGUCUAUAUCUGUGAUGACCCGGGGUACAUUCAUCAGUGACUGAGUUGGGGGAGAGGACUCAGCUCCCUUGGGCGGCGUGCUGUAGUACUGUUCUUCUGUUGUAAACGAUAAUGCUGAAAGAGAACCAAACUGUUCAGUCAGCUGAUUUGUCUGGAUUUCCCGGGGCCUAAAGUUUAAUAAGGACAGUUCGAGUUUUGGAGGCAAUUUUCUGAAUUCGACAAUCCUGGAUUUGUAGGCAGAGACACGGCUGACAUCAUUAGAGUCCAGUAACUUCUUCAGAUCAGCAAUGCUCUGUGUGAUUUCAGAAAUGGUGUGUGUGAUUUCAUCAUCCUGUUUAUUUAGGGCGACCAGGUUUUUGGAUUCUAUUUCCGCCGCGUUAGAUUUUAAUUUCUGUAUAAUGGUGUCUAUUUCUCUGUGCCAGACUUCUCCUUGUUUGUUGAUUGCUGUUGUUAAUUUCUGGAAGCUUUCACUCAGAUCAGCUUUCUGCACUGGAAUGACAGUUGCAAUCUCUUGGUAUUUGGGAUAAAUGGAUUUCUCUAAUUCUUGCAGCUCUUUUAUUAAAUCUUCUUUUUUGUCUUCAAAGUUUUGAAAAAUGUCAAUCUGUUUAUGUCCUAAAUGUGUCCCAGAAGAAAUACACUUUAUACAGAUAGGAAUAUCACACUGUUCACAAUGGAGUUCACAUUGUUUGGUUGGGUGUUUCCUACACUUGGGAUAGUUCAGAGUGGAUAAGUAUUGUUUAAGUGAGACCACAUUAUGAACUAACGAGGAAUCUGAUAAAUGUUUCUCCACACAGUCUUUACAAAGAUGUAUGUGACAAACUUCACAGUACAUGGGGGCCACAGAGAUCUUACACAGGGUGCAGCGUACAACAUCCUGAGCGCUCUUCCAGGGGUCCAUGGUCAGGGAAACCUAGUAAUAUAGGGGGAACUAGACCUGAAAAGUAAAAUUCAGAUAUGAAUGAUGUAUACAUGUAUUAGUUUGAUUAACAUUUCUAUAUGUAGGAUGCAGAAAUUCCAUUUCAUGCCUUAGUAUACAAUUUUGGUCAUAAUAUUUUUUAAUUUUUUUUUUUACUUAAACUUAAUUUAUAAAUUAUAUUAGUCUACAUGGUUUUUUAUUAUUAAGGAUACACGAUAAGAAAAUGGGAUAUAAAACUUACUUAAUGUUACCCCAUUGGUAAACUCCAGCGUUUCACGAUCCAAAAUGGCGGGCUCCUGGUGUUUAUUGUUCCUGGUCUGGCUACCUGAGCAACAUCAUGUGAUUAAUUUAAAUGCAAGAUACAAACUUGUACUUAGAUUUGCAUUUUUCAAGAAUCUAGGUCACUCAUUGUUGGGAGAUUUAACCAGAACUAACCUUAAACAUAUUCAACAUAGCUUAAAAAUGUAGUUAAUUUAUUUUAUUUUUUAAAUUAAAUUGUUGUUCAUGACUUGAGAUCCCUCAUUUUAUUGACAUUUCUUUAUAAAAAUUGAU
rnacentral:sRNA from 1 species